rnacentral:rRNA from 1 species
UACAGGGGGUGCAAGCGUUGCUCGGAAUUACUGGGCGUAAAGCGUGCGCAGGCGGCUCGUCAAGUCGGGGGUGAAAGCCCGGGGCUCAACCCCGGAAUUGCCUUCGAAACUGGCGGGCUUGAAUGCGGGAGAGGGUCGCGGAAUUCUUGGUGUAGAGGUGAAAUUCGGUAGAGAUCAAGGAGGAACACCGGUGGCGAAGGCGGGUCUCUGGGC